UGCCAAUACGGCAUACAUUUAACUUGGGAUAGAAAAUAUUUAUACAUGACUUUUUUUUCCCAAAAGAGACAACCUGAAUAGAAGGAAUUAUCUUGAAAAGUGUAUAAGCAAGAAAAUCUGAGUUCAACAAAUAAGAAUCCAUUAAUUCUUGAGAAGUAAUUGUUAUAGUAAACAACUACAAAGAAGCCAACUAAAUGAUGCUUGUAGAAAACCAGUUCUCAUGGGUCCACUAUGGAAGGACAGAUGGUAUAACAUGAGGAAACCAACUGUGUAGUGCUGAAGUAGAGUCAAAGCAUUAAAGGGGGGGAAAGAAAGGCUUAUUCGGUCAUGUGCAGAACAACUGUAACCCACACAAUCUAACAUAAGCAUACCCCAGUCAUACAGCCAAUAAGCCUCACUCACAGUAGGAAUUAAAGAAAUGUGAGUUGUAUGAAGAAAUAAUGAAUGAGUUUGAUCCUGAACUACAAUAAGGUAGAAAAUGCAGAAUAAUGUGUUAUAUGUGCUUUUUAUUUGUUUGGUUUUUGGCAUAAUGGCAAUCAAUUAAUCUACCUCUCUAAACUUCAGUUCCUUCUUUAGGAAAAUAUAUAUAGUAAUAAUACUAUAAUUUAAUGCUCCUUCCUACUCCAAAGGGCUAUUGUAAAUUUCAAAUGAGAAUAUUCUGGAAUUUACAAAUGCUACAAACAAUUAAGUAAUUUUUAUUUCAUUUCCUUGAAAAAAGUAAAAAGCCACUGGUAUGUUUACAAAGAUUCUAUCCCUUUCAAUCUGUCGUUAUAUAUCUAGAGGUGUGAGGAUGAAGUUAAGGGUAGGAUGGAAAAGGGAGAAAUAAGUAUGCCUAUGGAAGGAAGGUAGAGAAUCUUCAAUUAUCUUUCCCCAUGAUGGUUUAGAGAGACUGUCUGCAGAAGCUGUGAAGCAAGAGAAGGAAGUCAGCAUUGUUUUCCUCUGUAAGUCAAGCACUGGAUGGCUUAUAUGGAAGAUGACGUGGUCCCUGAGGAGAAAGGCUUUUAUUCAACAUCCUUUUUGUACUAAGCACUGUUCUUGACUCUGGGGAAUGCUGGAGCAGUAAACAAGGUACUCAACAGGGAAACACAAGACAGCACAGUUUGUUGGGAGUGGGACCAGAGAAGACUGCAGGCUCCUCUUGGCUGUGGAGAGACUUCAUGAAGGAAGUAAGGGCUGAGCAGGAGUUUGCCACCUGUACCCUGCCAAGGAUGACUUUCUUGGAAGAAAGAACUGAUUAGUCAUCAGCAAACUAAACCCCACUGGAUUGGCAUUUAAAUGUUGUAUUUUGAAAGGAAUCUUAGAAGUCUUAAAGUAUUUUGUCCCAGAGAAUAGACAUAUUCUUUUGAGAAGGGAUAAAAGGAUGUGAAGAAACUAUGCUCCUUGAGAGAAAUUAAGAAAUUUUAUGAAAGCCUUAAAAAUAGGUGAACAAGAUUCACAUUCUCAUAGUAUCUGAGUAACAUAAAAGAUGUGUUAAAAUAGUGACUUACUAAUUCAAUAUUUUCACAAAAUAUAUGAGUUCUUAC
rnacentral:lncRNA from 1 species